AAGCCCUUCGGGGUGGAUUAGUGGCGAACGGGUGAGUAACACGUGGGCAAUCUGCCCUUCACUCUGGGACAAGCCCUGGAAACGGGGUCUAAUACCGGAUACCACCCCUGCCUGCAUGGGCGGGGGUUGAAAGCUCCGGCGGUGAAGGAUGAGCCCGCGGCCUAUCAGCUUGUUGGUGGGGUAAUGGCCCACCAAGGCGACGACGGGUAGCCGGCCUGAGAGGGCGACCGGCCACACUGGGACUGAGACACGGCCCAGACUCCUACGGGAGGCAGCAGUGGGGAAUAUUGCACAAUGGGCGAAAGCCUGAUGCAGCGACGCCGCGUGAGGGAUGACGGCCUUCGGG
rnacentral:rRNA from 1 species